CGAAAAAUUCUGAUUUUUGUGUUUUUAUACUAAUUACAUAGAUUUAGAAGACUCAAACUUUUGACCACUUGAAAAUGUUGAUCUCUCUUUAAGACGUUUCUAAGUAUUUUUAAUUUUAGUUUUUUUAAAGUAAUAUCGCAAUCUCUUACAGAUUUUCAUCCAGGUUACAUGGAUGUGGUUUUAUGGAGAAUAUAUCUGGAGAUGCGACUACAAUAAUAAUGAUGGUGGAAAUAUUUGCCUAAAUGCAUGGAAAGACACUUUAUUUGGAGAUGUGACUACAAUAAUCAUGGUGGAAAUAUUCGGCUAGAUGUUCGGGUUUAUCUGGUGACGAGACAAUGAAAAUAUUUGGCUGGAAAUGCAUCUAAAGUGCUUUUAAAGAAAAGGAAUGGCCGAUAGGAAUUACUGAUUUCAUGCUUUCCUUCUACGACGAACUUCAUGGCGAUUUAUCUGGCACAAUUGCAGCGUUCAGGUCUUCAACAGUUAUUUAUGUUCUAUUGACUGGUCUCGUAUCUUCGGUGCUUUUCAUUGCAAAUUUCAUUGUUAUCUGUAAGAUUUUCUGAUACCGAUAUUAUCUAUAAUAAUUUCUCUUGUUUUUGGAAAGUAAAUUAACUAUGUAAAAGUUUGAUUGAUAAAAAUACUAGGUUAAAAAAAUUAGAUUUUGGCUUUAAUAUUUAAAAAAAACUUUUGCUGGAAUUUAAGGUAUUCGAGAAAGUUUUAGUCUUAAUUUUCUUACGAAGAUUUACUUUUUAAGCCUUCUGCGCAAACUUUCAAAAUUUCUAGCAAAAUGUUUUAGGUACAUUUCUGUUAAAUGCAAAAGAAUUAUCUGCCAUAUUUCUAUCUUCCUCAGGCACGCAGUUUUCCUAAACUCUAAACUGUUCUCGUCGUUUAACUUUAUUGUAUCACUCCAUUUUUUAAAAAAAACUGUCGCUGCCAUGAUACCAGUAAUUUAAAACAUUUGUACUAGACAUUCACCUUGUACCAAGAAAACUUGUCAACUAUAUUUUUUAGAAUGCUUAAAAAUUCCGUUAUAAAAAAAAGUUUAAAUUCGAACUUUAGUUUAUUCUUUUACGAGUUGGCUAAUUUGUCUCAUAUUAGCGUGAAGUAGAAUGGGGGUUUUCAAUCAGGAACUCCUAUACCAAAAAGAAUAGUUCACAUUGUAUAAAGCAAAUUCUAAAGUGAAUAAAUCGUAAAUAAAAGUGUGUAGAAAUAUUCGUAUUAUAGUUUCGGUACUACAAUGCUAGAGUGCUUUAGAAUGAUCUAAGCUUAAAUUUUCUAAAUUUGUAUUUAUUUGGAGCGUAAAUUUUGGCACAAUUUAAUUUAACAAAAACCUGACAUUCAAACUUCGAAAAAGGGACUUAAAUACAAAAUUUUUUAAAUUAAACAGUUAUUGCUAUAUCUAAUUGCUUAAUUUAUGAACCUUGUUUUACAGUAGUUCACAAACUAUUUAAAUUAACUUUUAGUAUUCAUGCUAGAACAUUCAAAAAUAAAAUCUCUAAACAAAUUCGCAGACAUGUCUCGUUUCUUCUUUAUUGAUGCAUUAAUGGUUUUGUAAUAAAUCUCUUUAACUGAAUUUAGACGGAUCCACACAAACUCUAUACACCAAAAUUGUGAGAAAUAAAAUUUCUAAAUAUCCUCCACCCCUGCACUUUUCACGGAUUCAUAACUUGGAAUCAUAAACUUGACAGUGAACAAGUCAUAAUGUACUAUACUAUUCUAAAUACAAAUUUAAUAAAUUUAAUUUAAAUUUCUAAAUACAUUGAAAAAAAAUAUUAUUUGUAUACUGUAAUAUAAAUUUACCUCUCAUGUACAAAACUAGAUUUAUAGCUAAGUAAUUUUUUGAAAAACAAAGGAAGGAAUUCAGUCUUAACUUAAUAGAGGAAUGUUUUACACUCUAAGCAGAGGGAGAUAUUAUAAAGGUGCUCAUUAAAAGGAAAACAGGACUUCAAAUUUUAGGUUUUCUAAAUUGUAUAUUUGAGCAUAUUUUUACUGUUCUACAUGCUUUAACUUGCAGUUAAAAUAAUUUAUAUACGAACUCUCAUGUCAUGCAAAGGUUUAUAUAGACUUAGUGUAGUUAAGACCGAUUAUAAAAUUUAAAUUAAAAUUGUUAUCGAAGUAACUGCUUGUUUUUACAUUAAUAGUUAAAAAGUCUGGAUGUAUUAUCUGGAUAAUUUAAAAAAGUUGUAGCCAUUUACGAGUUAGAAGAGGGGAAAAAUUUUCACAACUUACUAAACUGAUUUUUUUUUAUGAAUGAAUAUUUUUUGUUAAAGUACUUAAAGGCUGUAACGUUUAUAUAUUUAAAGAAAAAUAAAAUUCAAAUAUUUUUGGUUGGAAAAUUUUCAGGGAAGUUUAAUGUCACUUAUUUUUGCUGCUGAAGUAGAAAAAUAAUCCGUAAUUUACUAAUCACUUAACUUACCUUAACAUUUUACAUCUAACACUAACUUGCUGCUUCAGUAGUGGAAUAAGUUUCUUUAAAUUCCCCUAAAACAGCAAAUAUUAUGCAGAAUUGAGUAAAAAGACUUAAAAUUAACGGUAUAAAGAAAAUUUCGCAAAAAAAUCUAUAAAAUGUAAUUUUUCCCGAAACUUUUGGUUUAAUAAUAUUCCCGUUUUGCCUAAAUUUUAAGUUUUUCUUUCUAAAAAGUAAAAUAUUAGCAUGUAGAACAGUUUUUAUUUUUUACGAGCACAAAAUAGUGAAUUCCUUCAUAAAAUACUAAACAGCAGUUUAAAAUCUUUUAAAGCUUAUUAAAUUUUUAAAUAUAAUUAAAUGAAAUGAUUCUCUUUAAAGAAACUAAUACUUGAAAGUUUACAAAUUUAUUAUCGUGAAGGUGUAGUACAUUUUGUACCUUUCCUAAUUGUUUGUGAUUUUUUUCAAAUUGCAUCUUCGUAAUAUCUUGCCUGAUGUAAUAUUUUGAGUAUUUUAAAGCGUUGAAAACAGUUUCAAGAUAAAAAUGCAGUUCUAUCUUAAAGUUCUAUUAGUUAAUUUUAACUGUAGUACGGAAUUUUCACUAAUAAAAGCUUUAAAAUUCUUAAAAAGAAAAGGUAAAAACAAAAUAUUAAACAAUUAUAAGAAGCACAUAUAAAACAAAAUGCAAAUAUAGCUGUCUACAAGGACUACACAUUUUCUUAAUCGUCUGCACCCCUCGUCCGAUACCAUAUUUUCCUCUAAUAUACAGAUUUUUACUAUUUUCAACUCUGCAGAAAGAAUCCAGUCUAAAAUUUAAAGCAUUAUUAGCAAUCAAUGAAUUAUACUGUCUUCUGUCUUAAAUCUCUAUAAAUUUUUUUAAAAAAAUAAGGAUUUGUAUUAAAACAGAUUGCUGCGUUUUAAUAUGAAAAGCUAUGAAAAUGCUUUUAUUAAAGUUUUCCCAAAGUUUUCAAAAUUUCUAAAAGGCUGAACAAAGUUAUUAUGAGCUAGUAUAUUAUGUAAUGGGAAGUAGAAUAAGCUCUGGUUAUAUAAAAUUUCAUAACAGUUAAAUUGAUUUUUAAAAUGUGCCUGCUCUCUUUAAACAUUGAAAAUUUGAUCGAAUUAAGGCCGCUAGGCUAUAUUUAGGAAAUUACUGCUCUUUUUCUAUUCCAGUUUCGUAGCUCAAUCCCAGCAUGAGAUCAGUUGACGAAUGAUAGAAUUUUAUGUCGUUUUAUUCUGUAGUAAUGUUUUAAGACUACCUGUUCUGGAAAUCUGUGUGCCUGAGAUGUUAAGUUGAAAUUGUGUACUACUAGAAUAGGUAGACAAUGCUUUUUUAAUAAAGGUAUGAGUUAUAUUUUUUAAAAUACAACAAAUUGACCGAAAUUUUAAUUUCUUUAAAAUUAAGUUAAUUGAUAUAGCGCUAACAUAAAAGCUUGUGUAGGACGGAAAAUUUAGAAUUUUCUGAGCAAGUGUGGAGUUCGAAUUGGUAGCGGUAGGCGGCAGUUCUGCUCCCUCUUCCCCUCUUGUACGUUUCUGUACGUAAAAACUCUCCGCUCUGACGUACUUUAAUUUAGAACGUUCUUUAUGUUUAGAAAUUUAAGUCUUCAAAGUGAGAUAUUGUAACUUAGAAAUUGAA